CCUACGGGAGGCAGCAGUGGGGAAUAUUGGGCAAUGGGCGCAAGCCUGACCCAGCAACGCCGCGUGAAGGAAGAAGGCUUUCGGGUUGUAAACUUCUUUUGUCAGGGAAGAGUAGAAGACGGUACCUGACGAAUAAGCCACGGCUAACUACGUGCCAGCAGCCGCGGUAAUACGUAGGUGGCAAGCGUUGUGCGGAUUUCCUGGGUGUAAAGGGCGUGUAGCCGGGUUGACAAGUCAGAUGUGAAAUCCUGCGGCUUAACCGCAGAACUGCCUUUGAAACUGUUGGUCUUGAGUACUGGAGAGGCAGAUGGAAUUCGUAGUGUAGCGGUGAAAUGCGUAGAUAUUAGGAGGAACACCAGUGGCGAAGGCGGUCUGCUGGACAGCAACUGACGGUGAGGCGCGAAAGCGUGGGGAGCAAACAGGAUUAGAUACCCCGGUAGUC
rnacentral:rRNA from 1 species